rnacentral:rRNA from 1 species
CCUAAAGGGGAGACAAGUCGUAACAGAGUGGGUGUAACGGAAGUUGCGCCUGU